rnacentral:lncRNA from 1 species
UUUUUUUUUUUUUUUUUUUGGGUAUAGAGAAGGAGAAGAAAUAUUUUUUAAUAUUGACAAUCAAGGAAGAUUGCAAAGUUCCCAAAAUUGUUGACAAAAAUGUCGAAAGCAAUAGUAUUGGUAUUGAUUGAUGUUAAUAAAAGAGAGACCAUGGAUACAUAAUAUAAUAUAAUAUACUGGCACACUCAGGAUAAUAAAUUAAAGAGGUACUUAGAAAUCAGAUUCUCUAGUCACCUUAUUUUUUUGUUUGAACUUUUUAUAUGGUUUGAGAUGCAUCUCUCAUUAAUUUAGAUUGCUGUAAUUUAUAUAUAUAUAUAUUUUUUUUAUUUAACACUCACCAAAAGAACAAAGCACCAAAAAAUAAAAAAAUAAAAACCCAAGGUGAACAAAGUCCCUUAACCCAAGGCUAUUGAACCUACUUGACUUGUGCCAAUUCACGCCAUCCAAUACAUGAGAGCGUGAGUUCGAGGUCUAGAGGGGAUCCCUUCUGCCAUUAUUAAUUUAUUUAUUGUUAAUAUCUUUAUAAUUUGAGGCUUUGAACCUUUCCCUUCCCUUCAUUGUUGAAAUGAUUUUUUUUUUUCUAAUUUUAUGAACACACAACAAAAUAAUCACGUUAGAUGUCCAAUGUUGCAUAUUGGACUUUAAUUAUUAUAAAUUUUGUAUUCUUUUGUUUCAUAUUUAUAUCACAAAUUGUAUGUUUAAAAGUUUGGUGCUCGUGUUCUUAAUGCCUUUGGAAAGUAGAUCUUUUCUUGGCUUCACAUUUCACAUUCUUUUUCAUAUAAAACGUUUACUAUACAUCUAUAUGUUGAGUUAAAUGUUGUACCUUUAUGUUGCAAUCAUGUUAGGUAAAGCACGACAUAUUUGACUUUUUUUUUUUUUUUUCUUGGGAACAAAUGUUGUAGGUUUAUGUUGCAAUCAUGUUACUUAGGUCCAUUGUUACAUAUUUGAUUUUUUUUUCUUGGGAACACGGACAAUAAAAGGGAGAAUUUAAUUAUUGUUUUUUUUUUAUGUCACAUGUAAUUUUAUAUCACACGUCUCAUGCUUGAAGUUUCGCGAUUCGUGAUCUAUAUGCCUUGAAAGAUUUGCCCUUUUCCUUAAAAAAAAAAAUGUUGGUUUAAUACUUUGACCCAUGCCCAAAAUAAAACUUUGAUGACCUUCGAUUCAAUUAUUCCUCCAUUUAUCUGUCGUUCUCAAGUGAUUUUAUGACUCAGGAGAUCUAGUUAAAUCUUGCUUCCUUUAUUUGUUAGUUUAUAAAUAUGAAUUCCCUAUGGUUAAAUUUGUUGAUUUCGUGCUUAUAUGAUUAUCAAACUUUAAGCUGCAUAUUCGGAACCAAUCAAUUCAUAGUGGUACAUAAUUUUGAGAAAAUUAUUUGUUGAUUCAAAGAACCUUCAUUCAUAUGGGUAAAUAUGAAAAAAAAAAAGAUGUCCUCGUACUUGGUUAGUAAUUAUUUGAAAGAAUUUUGCGGUGAAUUUUUUUUUUUGGGUGUUGGAGAGAAAAUAAAAAAUGUGAAACGAAAAAACGGUCUAUUUUGGUAUCCUAGUAGUACAUUUAUUAUUUGAUAAUUUGAAUGAAUUGGAAUAAGAAUCAUAAUAAAAAUGGACUAUAUUCUCAUUUAUUUGUUUACUUUGUCUUAAAAUCAAAGUAGAUUAUUUUAAGUUACUAAAAUGUCUUAAUUAAUUAUUUUCAUUAAUAAUAAUGAUAAUAAUAUUAAUAAUAAUAACAAGAGCACAGCAACAAUAAUGAUGGUGAUAAUAACUAAAUAAUAAUAUGAUGAUGAUGAUUAUUAUUAUUAUUACUACUACUAACAACAACGACAAUGACAAAAAUAGAACGUUUUCCAAUAAAUCUGAUUUAAAUAAACUUUUACUAAAAAUAUUUUAAUUGCAUUUGUUAUGAAUGAGGGCUUGUAUUAAAUAUUAUAAAAUUACUUUAAUAGACAAACCUUUUAAAGUUACGUUAUAAAAUGAAUGAAUUAGGAUUGUAAAUUCAAUUAAGGAUAUUUUAGAAAGUUUAACUCUUUAAAUAAGUUCUAUAACAUCCACUCCCAGAAACUCAAAAUUUGAACUUUUCUAGUAGAGAUAAACUAUCUUAUUUAAUUACCAAAAACUCUAUUCAAAAUACAACCGAACAAUACUAAAUACUUUAAAAAGAGCUUAUAGAUUAAUUAAGCACUUUUAAACUUUAGAUAAGUCAUAUCAAAUGUGCAAUAAGACGAGAGAUAAUAAUAAUAAUAUUUUACUCAACGACAAAAUUAAGUGGAAUUAUUAAAUUUAUUUUAAGUCAAAAUUUUAAUUUAAAGAAUGAGUACUUAAUUCUCAACCUUCCCCAUGGGAAUCAAGUUCCCAUUUUGUAUUCCCACUUUCAUGCACAGCCCACCAUUCCUAAUCUCAUUUCCCCUUCUACAUUUGCCAGUAAACAAAAUCAAUUAUUCCAAAUCCGAAUUUCAGUUCUCCAAUCCCAUAGGUAAGUACAUUGUAAGUGUGUAUAUAGUAAAAGUUAAAUUGUAAGUACAUUGUAAGUGUGUAUAUAGUAAAAGUUAAAUUUCAAUGCCUUGAUGUUUUGAUAUAAAAGCUUGUUUAGUUCUUAUAUUUUAAAAAAUACUUUAAAAUUCUCCUAAUGUUAAAUAUCUUAUGGCCCUACCCUUACUUUUUCUUUCUUCUUGCAAUAAUAUCCUUACAAUAAUAUUGUUGGGGAUAUUAAUUAAAAAAAAUGUUAAGUCAUCAAAUUAGCCUUAAAAUCAAAAUAUUAAUUAAUAUAAAUUUUUAUGUUAUUAGUUUACUUUUAGGAUUAAUUUAGUAAAUUAAAUUUUUAUAUACAACUAGUUUGAGUUGGCUAAUAUUAAUUUAUUUAUAAGUAAUUAUUAGUAAGAUUGUUGCAAAGAUACAAAAAAUACUAGUUCUUUCAUACUAAUAAUUAUUUAUUAAUUUGCUAAUAAGUAACUAUUGGUUAAUUUGCUAAUUAACUUUUUUAUAGAUAAAUUAACUGUUGCCAAGAAUAUUGUUGCUAGGAUUAACUGUUUGUACAUAAAUAUUAGCUGUUCAUAAGGCUCUUAUUGUAUAGGCGAUGAUGAUUUAAAUUAUGGAAAUGAAAUGGAAGACAGAGCUAUUUAUAAUAGUAGAACAAUAGCCAUAAGCCAACCAACCAAAGAAAAUUAUAGUUGAAUAAUGGAAUAUAAUAUGUGAUUUGAAAUUUUGUUACGAGUUAUCUUGGGAAAAAUUGACUGGUUACUUGUCGUUGAAUAAAACAUGAAUGAUGCCAAGAUUAUCUUAAAAAAAUUAAUCCACCGAAAGUAUAGAGAAUGAAAAAAAUAUAUUUUUAUUUUUUUAGUAUUGUAAACGAAGUUAUUGUGUAAUGUUUUCAGAAUACAAUAACUAGUGGAAAUCAAUAAUAUUCUUAUUGACCGAUAUUAAAGGGCUAACUAGCCGGGAGGCACGUGGCACGGUAUGUGUCCAUACAACAUGGUAUUGUUACGAGUAUGUUUUGGUAGGGCACACGACAUGGCACGCACGCAAGCUGGCAUGUGGACCUUAAAAGUAUAACACGAUUAGAUAUGGGGUAAAGCACAACAUGUGAAAAGGCUCGCAAUAAGCAUAUUUCACUUUUUAAUGAAACUAAACUAAAAAUUUUAUGAUUUAAAAAAAAAACUUAAAAUUGAAUCUUUUAAUAUAUUUUAUUUGCAUGAGCUUUUUAAAUUCAUUUAGGUCUUAAUUUAGAAAAAAAAAUACUCUAAUUUUUUUAUAAAUAAAAUUAUAAAUAUCAUGAUUUUAUAAAAUGUAUAUAUUAAUAUUAUUUUGAACUAUGAUGUAUAAUUUGAUGUAAAUCUAAGUUAACAAUUGAAUUAACUCUUAAGAAAAUUUUAUUAUUAUUGUUGUUGUUGUUAAGUACUAAAAGGGAAUUUUAAUACCAUAACUUAAUAGUUAAUAUUACAUUCUCUUACUAUUAUUAGUUUAUUAUUAUUGAAUAUGAGAUUGAAUUUUGAGCUUUUGAUUCUAUUGAAAUUGUCUAAACACACAUGGACUCAAAAAAAAGUAGGCCAAAAUCUUGGCAUGCCCUCUUAAAAAAAUUUAACAAAAAACUUGUCGUACUUUUUUCUUAAGUGCUGCCCAUUGUGAGCUUGGGCACGACGCGCUUGGCAUGGCAUGUGUGCCGGGCCUAAGUCUAGGGAAAAAAAAGGCAUGGAAUGGCGCAAAACAUGGCAUAUAGUGGGUACGACAUGACACAAGCACGAGCUCGCAUGAGUCUUCCUUUAAUGGUCGGCUUGUUGGACAUCUCUAAUUGAUAUUAUAAAGGAUGACAAUAGAGAGGAGGGAAGAGAAGGGGAGGGAGGACAUUGACACCAUCUUAUUAACUUAUCAUAACUUUUUUUGUGAAAUACUUACAUGUAUGCUUUCUUUAAAUUUUUAAUUUUAUGAAAAACAAAAGAUCAACCAGGGGUGGAUUUAGAACAUUUUCUUUUUAAUUUAAGCAACUAAAACUUAAUGCAAUUUAAACAAAAUAACCAAAUUCAAAAUAAAAAAAAUGGGAAAUUAUCAGCCAUAUACCUUUAAAUGACACCCGUAUCAAACGUGUGUGAACACUUUUCAAGUGUAUCACUCAUAUACCCUAAGUUGACAAACCACUUCUGCCGUCCACCAACCCGUUAACUUCCGUUAGAAAGUUAACAGAAUUGUGGCAAAUUGACUAUUUUGCCCUUAAAACUCAAAAUGAGGUAAAAAGAUAAAUUUACCCCAAAAAUUAACGUAAAUUUUCAAUACACAAUUUUUUUAUUUUGUUAUUAACAAUAAAUUUUUUGAUAAAAAAAAUGAAUUAUUAACGGUACAUAUUAUUAACAAUUAUCCAUAAAAAAUAUCCAUAUUAUACCAUAAAAAAUUAUUAACAACGUAUUAUUUAUAAUUAUACAUAUUAUACCAUAAAAAAUUCCAGUUGGAGCUUGGAGGAGUAGAUUUUAAAAAAUUUAGGUUAAAUUUUAGAGGAGUAGAUUUGGUUGUAAAGUAGUUUUUUUAGCAAUUAUUAACAAUUAUCCGAUAAAUAGAAUGACUUGUCAUUUUUAUCAAUAUAUAUUAUAUGACAUGUCAUUGUUUACUAGGCAAAUGGGAUGACAUGUCAUUUUUUUUAAUCAAAGUUUCGUCCAUCUUAAAAGACUAGAUUACCCUUAUGAUGUUAGCACUUGCAAACGGAAGUUAAUGGAUUAGUGGACGGCAUAAGUGUUUUGUCAACUUAUGGUAUACGAGUGAUACACUUGAAAAGUGUUCACACACGUUUGAUACGGGUAUCAUUUAAGGGUAUAUAGCUGAUAAUUUCCCUAAAAAAAUUAAUGUGCAAUAAAAAGAAUAAAGAGAUAAGGUAAGAGAGAGCAAAUACGCAAUAUUUAAGUGGUUCGGCUAACCGUGCCUAGGUCCAUGGCUCUAAGGCUUCAACAAUGCUUACAAUUGACUUCUAAGGUAUCAAUCGACCUUUACAAUUACAUAUUAUCCCCAAUCUCUUGACACAAGUAUAUCUCACACUUACAAUCACUCAAAAAUAACGAUUAUAAUAGAAUUUGCCUCACACAAUAUAUAUGGUUACAAAUGACAACUGAAAGUGUGAAUUAAUGAAACAAUGACAAGUAUAAAGGUCAAUAAAGAUUGCAUACUCAAUAGUAGGCUUAAUAAUAACUAUUGGAUCACUCUCUGUUUGAAUUUGAUUAAGCUAUUUUAUAGUUGGAGCUGAAAACUAGCCAUUAUUGACUUUUUGAGAAUAAUCAGAUCGAUAUUAACUAUUGUCGGUUCAAUGUUUUAACUUGUCCAAAUGACCAUUAUGUUGAAAUUUUAAAAUAAUCAGUUAACGGUUUGGAGUUAUCGGUUAGCCGUUUAUUUCUAGAAACCUGCAAAAAAAAUUUGGCUAACCGUUUGUCCUAAAUAAUUCAAGGUUAUUGUUGAGUGCUAGAAAAUGUAUAUUUAUAAAAGAGAAAAUCAUCAUUUUACACUCCAAGUCUCACUAACAUCCCUACUUUUAUAUAUUUAAAUUCCUUGUAAUUUAAUUAUGUGUGUUUUAUUAUAAUUAAGUAUUUUAUAUAUUUUAAGGGGCAUCAUGGUCAUUUCACAAUGAACAAAAGAUCAGAUAGCAAAACAGACAACAAUUUUGAACUCAUGACAGUCGAAAACCUUAAGAGGAGCAUAAAAGGAUAAAUGACAUUGUUCACAUAUAUGGUACUGUUCAUCAUACUGUUCACAUUUACGGUACGAUGAUGUGGCAUUGACCGAUGACGUGGCAGCAUUCAAUUGGACGAAUGAUAUGGCAUUGAUUGAUGACGUGGCUUGACCGAUGAUGUGUUAUGAUCCUAUUGGACUAAAAUGAUUAUGUAGAGUUGACUGGUGACGUGGCAGUAUGUUAGUGGACCGAAAAACGUACGUACGAUACAUGCAUAUACACGAAAUGACAGCCCUGAUGAUGUGUUCUAUCUAAUCAGAACUUGCAAUAUGGGGUAAUCCUGAGCGUUCAAAUUAUUUUAAUUCGAUGGCUAUGAUUUACUCAAUAUAUCUAGAAACAAGGCGCUCCCCUCUUAAUUUGAGACCCCUGAAUCUAUUUUUGAGCUCUAUUUUCUAUAGUUUCUUCUCUAUCUUGUAUUUUCUUUGUAUUUUAAUAAAUUCUCAUUUUAUCCCUAUUUAAUUAUGAGUAGCUAAUUUUCUUUCAAGCUUGUGUUAAAAGUGAAGUCUCAACAUGUUCCAUGGACUUAAUUUCGUAAAUUUACUUUCUCUUGCCCUCUAAUAUUUGUGGAUGUUUUGACUUUUCGUCAAUAAAUGGUAAUAAUCUUGUCUAGAUAUUGCGUUGGUACAACCGUCUCCCUAGUGCAAGGUUUUACUAUUUGGCAUAAUAAGCACUUAGCACCAAAUUUAUUAGAGUGUGGUUAAUUGGCACUAAUAAGGAAUAUUAAGCCCAUGGUGAAUGUUGAGUACAAAUCCAGAGACUCAAGCAUUUCAUUUUAAUAGUUUUCACUUAAAUUCAUUCAUGUCAUUCUAAUUUAAAUUUUACAAUAUUCUAAAUCACUUUCACUACAAAUCCAACUACCCACUUAGAAAAUUGACUCUAUACGCAAUUAAAAGUCACCUCCUCGUACAAUCGACACUCAUCACCGUUGAUCUAUUCUACAAUAGAUUCAUGCACUUGCGAAUUUAAUAAAAUUUGCACAACAGUUAUAAUCCAAUUCCUCUUUGGAAAUUUUCGGUUAGACGUUUUCAGUAAACGGUUCACCAUUAUUUUUCGGAAUCAACACUAAACAACUCUUUGUAGGUCAAUUCCAAUCUUUUAGUGGAGUAGAUUUGGAAUUAAAUAAUUAAGCUAUUUUAAUUACAUGCCUAAUUGUUAUAGCCACUAUUGUAUGUUCCCAAAUGAUCCCCGGGUUAGCUCAUUUAAUCGACUGCACCAUUAUUGGAUUAAUAAGCAAGAUAACUAGUUAUUUGGAGUCAAAAACCUAAAUAUAUCAUUUAGUGGGAGGCUCCAUUUAAUUACCUUGUGUGUAAUGGAUCUUAUGUUAUUUUACAAGGUGAGUCCCCUAUAGUAAAAGCAAGUCACGUGAAUUUUGAUUUUCAUUAUUUGAAGCCUAUGGUUUUCACUAACGAGAGAUAUAAAAAGGUUUAUUAUCUCGAAAAGAAGCAGGGAGUAGCCACUUUAUACAGAUUAGAGAAAAAGAUUUUUCUCUCUAUUGUUGAGAGACAAAUUUUCUCGUGCUAGUUGCUUUAGUGGUGAUAAAGACGCCCACACGUUAAGUGCAGAUCAAACCUGAGUCAUAACCUGGAAGAUCAUUGGUGACAGUUCGUGAUCUAACAAGCAUGGUGGUGACGAAUUGUGAUCUAACAGGAGUGGUGGUGACAGAUCGUGAUCUGGGAGCCUAAAUCACUUCAGCGGAAAAAGCCAAAUCGGAUUUUCAAGGUACGAUUUCUAGAUUACAAAUUCUUAUAUAUUGUAUGAGAGUGAUCUUAAAAGAUUUUAUAAAAAUUUAAAAAACUGAUCUUUUUCUCCAAUAAUUGGUAUUAGAGCCAUCUCAUAUUAAUAUAUAAGAAUUUCGUAUGAAAUUAAUCUUGAAAUUUAUGUAUUAGAGUGGCACAAUUUAUUCAGAUAUAUAUUAUUUGUUUAAUAUAUGAAUAAAGCAUGUUUAUGGUUUGUCUUAAUUCAUGGUUAGAAUUUCUGCUGUAUUUUUCGUUUGGAUCUGUAACAAGAGGGGUGGCUUUUUAUCACCAUAUUUCCCUCUUGAUUUAUUUUACUGUUAUAGAAAUUUUGUAAACCAAAAUUGGCUUAGGAAAUUUGUAAAUCAAUCAUGGAUGGCAAAUCAAAGCGACGGAGGCCGAGAAUUUGACAGCAACCACCGACCAGCGCACUCGCUGCAGCCAACAUGCGGUACACGCUGCAAGCGCAUGCUGGCAGCGCGCGCAGCAGGCAGCACACGCUGCCAGCGGCGCUCGCUGCACGCGGAGCAACAGCUUGCGCUCCAGCAAGUAGCGCACGCAAGGUUGGUUUGUUUCCGGCGUAUCGACGACGGCAUACUCGGCGUUAAUAGCGGCUGUCCGGUGAGAAAGGUCUGAACAGUGGCCGUUUGUGGAGAUGGCAGUUGGGGAAGAAGAAAGAAAAAAAAAAUGAUUUUAAGGUUUCAUGGUUUUUAUCAUGGAGGUCCCUAUGGUUUCAUAAUUUUUCCUUCGGGCAAAUUUUUUUCAAUUUUUUGCGUUUAAAUCUAGAAAUAAUUUUGGGCUUAAUGAAUCCUAGUUUUAGGUCCAAUUUCAAUAGGGCUUAAUGGAUUAAAAUGCAUAGAUAAAAUUAAAUACAUUAAAUUUAUUUUUGGUCCAAAAUUUUUAUUUUAAUAAAUUUUUUAAUUAUUUAUUUAUUUCCUUUCAAAAUUAAAAUUGGACCAAUUAUAAAUUUAAAAGCCCAAUUUCCCCUAGUCCAUUAACAAAGACAAGCUUAUGGAAGAUGGACAUUGACAAGAAGUCUAAUGAAGAUUAGGCUUAGGGUUAAUGUAUUUUUCAUUAUUAGGAAAGCCAUGAAUUAAGAUUAUUUAAUUGUUUUUCUAUAUGUUAUGUUUUGGAUGAUAACAUGCCAUAUAGAAUAGGUAGUGUCACUCUAUGCAUAAUGAUACAUGUCAUUUAUUCAUUAUGAAUCUCAUUAUAUUGUUGGAUUCAGGAGCAACUAAUCAUAUUUGUAAUUCACUUUAUUGGUUUUAGGAAACUAGGAAAAUAAGUUAAGGAAGCGUCAAGCUGCAGAUAGGGACAGGACAAUUCGUGUCAGCAGUGAAGACUAGAUCUGUUUUAUUAUCUUUUAAUAAUGAGACUUUAAUUUUGAAUAAUUGUCUUUAUGUUUCAGACAUAAAGAAGAAUUUAAUUUCAAUAGCUUAUUUGUCAAAGUAAGGGUACACUGUAAAUUUUGGAUCCUCUGUUUCUAUUUUUUAUAAUAAGAGACUUAUUUGUUCUGGUACAUUGGAAGAUAAUUUAUAUCAUUUAAGUCCAAUGAUCCAUUCUAUGCACGACACAGUGAUAAAUAAUGAUGAGCAUACACAUUUAUCUAAGAAAAGAAAUAUUUCUUCCAACCAAUGUUACCUCAAGCAUUUACACUUGGGUCAAAUAAACCAAAAGGAUACAGAGAAUGAUCAAAGAUGGGCUUUUGGGUCCAUUAGAAAAUGAAUCAUUGCCACUCUGUGAAUCUUGUUUAGAAGGGAAAAUGACCAAAAGGCCAUUCUCGGCCAAAGGAGUACGUGCAACAGUACCACUUGAAUUGGUACAUACAGAUGUAUGUGGACCAAUCAAUGUACAAGCUCGAGGAGGUUAUGAGUAUUUCAUCACUUUCACUGAUGAUUACUCGAGAUACGGUUAUGUUUAUCUGAUGCGUUACAAGUCUGAAGCUCUUGAGAAAUUCAAAGAGUAUAGGGCUAAGACAGAAAAGUAAUUAGAUAAGAACAUAAAGAAAUUUCAAUCUGAUCGAGGUGGUGAAUUUCUCUCAGGAGAUUUCAAAGAGUAUCUAGUUGAAAAUGGGAUUAUAUCUCAGUUGACUGCCCCAGGACCAGCACAACAAAAUAGGGUAGCUGAAAGAAGAAAUAUAACUUUUUUGGAUACGGUGAGAUCUAUGCUUAGUUAUUCAUCAUUACCAAUCUCUUUUUGGGGACUAGCACUAUAAACUACAACUUACCUCUUGAACUUAGUUCUAUCUAAGUCAGUGCCUUAAACCCCAAUAGAAUUAUGGUCAGGUCGCAAACCAAGUUUACAACAUGUCCGUAUUUGGGGAUCACCAUCACAUGUGCUGAAACCAAAGGUAGACAAAAUGGAUUCACAUUCUGAGGUUUGUAUGUUUGUGGGGUAUCCCAAAAGAACAAGGGGAGGUUUAUUUUAUAAUCCUCAAGAUAGGAAAGUGAUCGUGAGCACACAUUUCACUUCCCUCGAGGAAGACUAUAUGAAUAACUUCAAACCUAAGAGUAAGUUAAUACUUGAAGAACUGUCAGGUGAUCAGGUCAAUGCUCAGCUUUCAACGCCUGUUACAGAACAGGAAGAAUAGCAACAACCAGAUGAUCAACACAUGAUUAUCCCUGAACAACCAUCACUUUUAGAACCUCGUCGUAGUGGGAGGGUAACUAGGUUACCUGCGAGGUACAUGCUUUUGGGAGAAACCUAUACGGCUAUCUCAGAUGAACAUGUACAAGAUCCCACUAAUUACAACGAAGCUCUAAUAGAUAGAGAUGCUGAAUUUUGGAAAAAGGCCAUGAAUCAAGAAAUGGAAUCUAUGUAUUCCAAUAAAGUCUGGGAACUUGUAGAGGCACCAAAUGGGGUAAAGCCUAUAGGGUGGAAGUGGAUCUACAAGAGAAAAAGAGGAAUAGACGAAAGGGUGGAAACAUUUAAAGAAAGAUUAGUAGCCAAAAGGUUUACUCAGAAAGAAGGAAUCGAUUCUGAGGAAACUUUUUCUCCGGUUGCUAUGCUUAAAUCUAUCAGGAUUCUGCUCUUCAUUGCUGCAGUGCUAGAUUAUGAAAUUUGGCAAAUGGAUGUCAAGAAUGCCUUUCUUAAUGGGCAUCUUGAAGAAAAUAUCUACAUGCAGCAACCAGAUGGAUUUAUACAAAAAUGCCAAGAACACAUGGUAUGUAAGUUGUAGAGAUCCAUUUAUGGAUUGAAGCAAGUAUCCCGGUCAUGGAACAUCAGAUUUGAUCAAGCGAUUAAAUCGUUUGGAUUCAUUCAGAACAUUGAUGAACCAUGUGUGUACAAGAAAAUUCAAGAAAAAUCUGUAGCCUUCCUAAUUCUUUAUGUAGACGAUAUUCUCCUAAUUGGAAACGAUACAUGAGUAUUGACUACAAUAAAAAGUUGGUUAGUAAAACAAUUUGAUAUGAAAGACCUGGGAGAGGCAAGUUAUAUUCUUAGUAUCAAGUUACUACGAGACCGGAAGAAUAAAACUUUAGCCUUGUCUCAAGCGGUCUAUAUCGAUAAGAUAUUGGCUAGAUUUAGCAUGGAAAAUUCCAAAACUGGUAUAUUACCAUUCAGACAUGGAGUUACAUUCUCUAAGGAUUAAUCACCUAAAACAUCUGAAGAGAUAGAGAGAAUGAGACAAGUUCCCUAUGCAGAAGCUGUGGGAAGUCUCAUGUAUGCCAUUCUUUGCAUUAAGCUAGACAUCUGUUUUGCGGUAGGGAUGGUUAGUAGAUAUCAAUCUAAUCCUGGACCUGAACACUGGACUGCGGUCAAGCAUAUAAUAAAGUAUCUGAAAAAAACUAAACAUUAUAUGCUUGUGUAUUCUGGUGAUGAACUCAUUCCAGUGAGUUAUACUGAUUCUAACUUUAUGUCAGAUAAGGAUUCCAGAAAAUCAACUUCCGGCUAUGUGUUUACAUUGGGAAGUGGAGCUAUUAGUUGGAGGAGUGUGAAACAAUCUUGUAUCGCAGACUCCACAACUGAAGCUGAAUAUGUGGCUGCAUCCGAAGCUGUAAAAGAAGCUGUAUGGCUCCACAAGUUCCUAUAAGAUCUUGAGGUGGUACCUGCUGCACCUACACCCUUUAAACUAUUUUACGAUAAUAGUGGUGCGGUAGCUCAAUCUAAGGAACCAAGGAACCACAAGAAACAAAAACAUAUUGAGAGGAAGUAUCAUCUUAUAAGGGAUAUAGUGCAGAGAGGUGAUGUGGAGGUUACUCAGAUUGCGUCACAGCAAAACUUGACAGAUCCUUUUACUAAGGCCAUACUUGGGAAACCUUUUAACUUGCACUUAGAAUCCACGGGCAUGCGUGAGAUGCCAAAUAUGCUUUGAGAGCUAGUGAGAGAUUGUUGGGAAAAUAUGCUCUUUAAAAGCAUGUGUGUUUAUUUAAUUGUAAUAAACAUUUUUUCUGAUUAAUAAAAUUAAUGAGGUAUUUUAUUCAAAUAUCUUAAUUGCAUUAAUAUUUUGAUCAAAGUCCAUUUAACCAUAUUAUAUAUAUUUAUGUGAUCACCAUGUGGAUUCACAGAAGACAUAAAUAUAAGUUAUCUUAUGAUUAAAUAAAUUUAGUUCGCAGUUGAUAAAUAAAGUUGGACACUUUAUUUAGGUAUAGACUGUAAUGAAUUCAUUGAAUAAUUUGUCUUAAUCAUGUGUAAAUUUGUUGAUGUAGUACGACUACAUUGAACAUGAUCACAUAUGAGAUUUAAUUAACCUUAAAAUGAUUGUCAGACUUAUUAAAUCUCAUAGGCAUUGAUUUUACUGUAAUCUUAGUCUUGAGUUAGUCAUGAUUUCAUGAUUGUAAUUGUUAUUCCAUUUAAGUUACCAAUGGACAUGACACACAAUUGUGGCAAGAUUACCCGGUAUCUUGGUGGAAGCAAUUAUGAGUAUUGGAGUUAUAGAUUAACAAUAUUGAAUUUGUACAAUAUAUCUCUUGAUGGGUUUUCGGCACUUGAUCAUAGAAUUCUCUGGCCAGAGUGUGUCAACAUAUUUAGUAUGUUGAAAAUGAUUAUUAGGGAAAACCAAUAAGUAUCAAGGAACAAGAUGUUAUUAAAUUGAUUGGACAGUUGAGAUAUCAAUUUAAUUAAUAAUGUGGUACAGAGGAUUGUGCAGUAAAGAAAUCAAUGUGGUUUGUGACGAAUUAUUAUUCGAGCAUACAAUUAUGGAGGUCAAUUCCAAUCUUUUAAUGGAGUAGAUUUGGAAUUAAAUAAUUAGGCUAUUUUAAUUACAUGCCUAAUUGUUAUAGCCACUAUUGUAUGUUCCCAAAUGAUCCCCGGGCUAGCUCAUUUAAUUGACUGCACCACUACUGGAUUAAUAAGAAAGAUAACUAGCUAUUUGGGGUCAAAAACCUAAAUAUAUCAUUUAGUGGGAGGCUCCAUUUAAUUAGUUUGUGUGUAAGGGGCCUUAUGUUAUUUUACAAGGUGGGUCCCUUAUAAAAAAAAGCAAGUAACGUGAGUUUUGAUUUUCAUUAUUUGGAGCCUAGGGUUUUUACUAAAGGGAGAUAUAAAAAGUCUUAUUUUCUCUAAAAGAAGUAGGAAGUAGCCAUUUUAUACAGAUCAGAGAAAAAGAUUUUUCUCUCUAUUGUUGAGAGAAAAAUUUUCUCGUGCUAGUUGCUUUAGUGGUGAUAAAGGCGCCCACACGUCAAGUGCAGAUCAAACCUGAGUCAUAACCUGGAAGAUCAUUGGUGACAGUUCAUGGGAGCCUAAGGGCCUGUUUGGUAUUGUUUCUGAAUUUAUAUUUUCUGAGAAUAAAAAUAAAAAUGAAAAUGGUGUUUUGUAAUUGCUGUAUUUCGAAUUUAAAUAUGCGUCUGGUAUCAUUUUCUGUAUAUUGUAUUUUAAAACUGAAAAUAGUAAUAUGCGUUUGGUAGACACAGUUGAAAAUGAUAAAAGCAUAUAAUAUACGUUUGGUAAUACUUUUUUCAAAAACAGUUUUUACUAAACAUUUAAGUCAUAGUCAAAAAAUAAUUGUUUAAUUAAUACAUAUACAUAUAUACCAUAAAUAAUUUAAACAAAAUAAUUAUAAAAAAUCACAUAAUGAUAAAGUUUUAAUAGUAACAUUAAUAGGGAAAAGUUUGACAUUAUCAUUAUUUUUACAGUAUAUGUAAGUUACAUAUUACAACACAAAUAAAUUAAACAAAAUAAUUAUAAAAAAAUUACAUGAUAGACAUCAGACGUUAAUACUUACUGGAGAUAAAUCAAAUUUAAUAGUGUACAAUGUACUUUCAAGUUACACUUAUUUUGUGUAAACAAGCUCUAACAACAACAAUAUUUAUGCUUGCGCCAUGCAGCAAAGUGAUUAGAGUACGUCAACAGGGUUUGACAAAAUUUCAACAUGUACUUUCCAGAACAACACAAAACAUAAAACUGCUACCACAUAAAUAGAGAAUUAAAAAGAUGGAUGGAAGAAAAGCAAGUCCCAUCCGAAAAAAGAAAAAAAGAUGAACUACAAGUGCUUAUCCUUGAAGCUUAUUGAUCCCAAAUGAAAUUGUGCAAACCAUAAGUCCAAGCAAAGCCAAGAAUCCAUGUUUCCUGCACAUGAAUUAUUAAAAAUGACAUUAAAUGCAUGUAUAAAU